GGCCAGACUCCUACGGGAGGCAGCAGUGGGGAAUAUUGGGCAAUGGGCGCAAGCCUGACCCAGCAACGCCGCGUGAAGGAAGAAGGCUUUCGGGUUGUAAACUUCUUUUAAGAGGGAAGAGAAGAAGACGGUACCUCUUGAAUAAGCCACGGCUAACUACGUGCCAGCAGCCGCGGUAAUACGUAGGGGGCAAGCGUUAUCCGGAUUCACUGGGUGUAAAGGGAGCGUAGACGGCGACGCAAGUCUGGAGUGAAAGCCCGGGGCCCAACCCCGGGACUGCUCUUGGAACUGCGCGGCUGGAGUGCAGGAGGGGCAGGCGGAAUUCCUGGUGUAGCGGUGAAAUGCGUAGAUAUUAGGAGGAACACCAGUGGCGAAGGCGGUCUGCUGGACAGCAACUGACGGUGAGGCGCGAAAGCGUGGGGAGCAAGCAGGAUUAGAUACCCGAGUAU
rnacentral:rRNA from 1 species